rnacentral:rRNA from 1 species
CCUACGGGAGGCAGCAGUCGAGAAUCUUUCACAAUGGGGGAAACCCUGAUGGUGCGACGCCGCGUGGGGGAAUGAAGGCCUUUGGAUUGUAAACCCCUGUCAUGUGGGAGCAAAUUAAAAAGAUAGUACCACAAGAGGAAGAGACGGCUAACUCUGUGCCAGCAGCCGCGGUAAUACAGAGGUCUCAAGUGUUGUUCGGAAUCACUGGGCGUAAAGCGUGCGUAGGCUGUUUCAUAAGUCGUGUGUGAAAGGCGCGGGCUCAACCCGCGGACGGCACUUGAUACUGGGGACCUUGAGUUAUGGAGAGGUAACCGGAAUUCUCGGUGUAGCAGUGAAAUGCGUAGAUAUCGAGAGGAACACUGGUGGCGAAGGCAGGUUCCUGGACAUUAACUGACGCUGAGGCACGAAAGCGAGGGGAGCGAAAGGGAUUAGAUACCCGUGUAGUC